UGACGUUAGGAAAGCGAGCGGCGGAUGGGUGAGUAACACGUGGGGAACCUGCCCCAUAGUCUGGGAUACCACUUGGAAACAGGUGCUAAUACCGGAUAAGAAAGCAGAUCGCAUGAUCAGCUUUUAAAAGGCGGCGUAAGCUGUCGCUAUGGGAUGGCCCCGCGGUGCAUUAGCUAGUUGGUAAGGUAAAGGCUUACCAAGGCGAUGAUGCAUAGCCGAGUUGAGAGACUGAUCGGCCACAUUGGGACUGAGACACGGCCCAAACUCCUACGGGAGGCAGCAGUAGGGAAUCUUCCACAAUGGACGCAAGUCUGAUGGAGCAACGCCGCGUGAGUGAAGAAGGUUUUCGGAUCGUAAAGCUCUGUUGUUGGUGAAGAAGGAUAGAGGUAGUAACUGGCCUUUAUUUGACGGUAAUCAACCAGAAAGUCACGGCUAACUACGUGCCAGCAGCCGCGGUAAUACGUAGGUGGCAAGCGUUGUCCGGAUUUAUUGGGCGUAAAGCGAGCGCAGGCGGAAGAAUAAGUCUGAUGUGAAAGCCCUCGGCUUAACCGAGGAACUGCAUCGGAAACUGUUUUUCUUGAGUGCAGAAGAGGAGAGUGGAACUCCAUGUGUAGCGGUGGAAUGCGUAGAUAUAUGGAAGAACACCAGUGGCGAAGGCGGCUCUCUGGUCUGCAACUGACGCUGAGGCUCGAAAGCAUGGGUAGCGAACAGGAUUAGAUACCCUGGUAGUCCAUGCCGUAAACGAUGA
rnacentral:rRNA from 1 species